AUUCAAAUAUCUUAUAUAGAGUAUAACAUUGAAGCUGUUAUUGAGAUGAAUUUAUCUUUGGAUA
rnacentral:tRNA from 2 species